UUGCAUGUGGAAACGUCUUCUGCUCAUUCCUUUGGGCGCAGGAUAUAUCCUUACAUGCUACAUUAAGAAAGGAGUUCACAGGGCUGCCAACCUUACAGUAGAGGUUGAGUAGUAGUAUAUUUCUCCUACAAAA
rnacentral:snoRNA from 12 species